GAGGGCAUCUGGAGUUUGCAGUUACUCUUUUAUAUUUCAGAUUAGCCAGGGAUGGGAUAUGGUUCCAGGAAAUCCUCCAUAUAAGGAUUAAAAUCUUUUGUGGUAGUUGUAAAUUCCAUAGGUUCUUGUAAAAUUCUUUAGUUUUGGUAUGUACUAAAUAACUAUUAGGCUCCAGACUAGCUUCUUGUAAUAGUUUGUAUGCGCUCCGAACUGAGAACUCACCUGAUUGUUCACCUUUCCACACCUACAUGUCUUCACAGUCUAUUCUUGCUAAAGGAAUCUGCAGAAUUCUCUGGGCGACAUCCCUUUGGAAGGUAGUUCAAUCCCUGGUAUCCAUCGAUCAUUCCAAAUGGAUAUUGCGGUUCCUGCCCCCACUCUCCAUCUUAGCCCUUUGAGAAGGGUUCCUUUCGUUGCCCAAAUGCUCCUCCAGGUAAGAGAUGGUCACUACUAUGGAUCCACUUCCUGAUGCGGUAAAAAAAACAACUGGGAAACACAGAAAUCAAAGAACAAAAGUUCCACACGAACAAGAAAAACAAAGACUUCUACCAGCGGCGGCAGACAAAGAAACGUGCUA